GCGAGCUUGCCUAGAUGAUUUUAGUGCUUGCACUAAAUGAAACUAGAUACAAGCGAGCGGCGGACGGGUGAGUAACACGUGGGUAACCUGCCCAAGAGACUGGGAUAACACCUGGAAACAGAUGCUAAUACCGGAUAACAACACUAGACGCAUGUCUAGAGUUUGAAAGAUGGUUCUGCUAUCACUCUUGGAUGGACCUGCGGUGCAUUAGCUAGUUGGUAAGGUAACGGCUUACCAAGGCAAUGAUGCAUAGCCGAGUUGAGAGACUGAUCGGCCACAUUGGGACUGAGACACGGCCCAAACUCCUACGGGAGGCAGCAGUAGGGAAUCUUCCACAAUGGACGAAAGUCUGAUGGAGCAACGCCGCGUGAGUGAAGAAGGGUUUCGGCUCGUAAAGCUCUGUUGGUAGUGAAGAAAGAUAGAGGUAGUAACUGGCCUUUAUUUGACGGUAAUUACUUAGAAAGUCACGGCUAACUACGUGCCAGCAGCCGCGGUAAUACGUAGGUGGCAAGCGUUGUCCGGAUUUAUUGGGCGUAAAGCGAGUGCAGGCGGUUCAAUAAGUCUGAUGUGAAAGCCUUCGGCUCAACCGGAGAAUUGCAUCAGAAACUGUUGAACUUGAGUGCAGAAGAGGAGAGUGGAACUCCAUGUGUAGCGGUGGAAUGCGUAGAUAUAUGGAAGAACACCAGUGGCGAAGGCGGCUCUCUGGUCUGCAACUGACGCUGAGGCUCGAAAGCAUGGGUAGCGAACAGGAUUAGAUACCCUGGUAGUCCAUGCCGUAAACGAUGAGUGCUAAGUGUUGGGAGGUUUCCGCCUCUCAGUGCUGCAGCUAACGCAUUAAGCACUCCGCCUGGGGAGUACGACCGCAAGGUUGAAACUCAAAGGAAUUGACGGGGGCCCGCACAAGCGGUGGAGCAUGUGGUUUAAUUCGAAGCAACGCGAAGAACCUUACCAGGUCUUGACAUCCAGUGCAAACCUAAGAGAUUAGGUGUUCCCUUCGGGGACGCUGAGACAGGUGGUGCAUGGCUGUCGUCAGCUCGUGUCGUGAGAUGUUGGGUUAAGUCCCGCAACGAGCGCAACCCUUGUCAUUAGUUGCCAUCAUUAAGUUGGGCACUCUAAUGAGACUGCCGGUGACAAACCGGAGGAAGGUGGGGAUGACGUCAAGUCAUCAUGCCCCUUAUGACCUGGGCUACACACGUGCUACAGUGGACGGUACAACGAGAAGCGAACCUGCGAAGGCAAGCGGAUCUCUUAAAGCCGUUCUCAGUUCGGACUGUAGGCUGCAACUCGCCUACACGAAGCUGGAAUCGCUAGUAAU
rnacentral:rRNA from 1 species